UCAGCAGUGGAGUGAACACCGGAGCUCCUACUGCCGGCUGGUCCGGUCAGGAAUGGGGCUUUGAGUGUUCAGCUCCAAAUCCAGAAGAAGUUUAUAUUCUGUCAGUGAACUAACCAGAAGUGCUUCAACUUUUCUGUCGCAGAUCCAAAACGAGACGGACGGUCUCCGCGAUGGUGAUUUUGGCGAUUGGAUGCCCGCCUUCCACACCCCCAAAGCGCAAUGGAUCGAAAUGCGCUUUGAUGCUCAUAUUAAGAGGACCGUAAGACAAUGGACUUACUACGACGAAGAAAAAGAAGGGAACAAAAAUGCAUAUUGGCUGCAGCAGGCUGCAACGAGACGAAACCCAAAUAUUCUAUACUCGGAGCGGUAACGACACCGUCGAAGGAAUUUCUUUGAGAAAAGUGUACUCCAUUGGCAUCGAAAAGCAUUCUAUUCCUCUGGUAUGGAAACGAAUUGAGACUGCGAAGAGAACCCAUCACGCAACACAUUGGCAAUGAAUGAGAGGGAUCAUUCGCGAAAAGAGGUUCAAUACUGGAAGAUUACAAUUGUCGUUUAUUAUCGCUAAUGAAACUAUCAAGAGAGUCUUUGAAAAUGAAAAAAAGUCAAGCAAUUCCAGGGGAUACCAAACGAUAUGCUAAACGUUUCUCGCAUUAUCUGGCCGAUUUGAGACGGGGAUAAUUUUUGCAAAUACAAGAAUGGCGGAAUGACUAAAUAUAUGGAAAAAUUACUUUGACAUUCUCUACAUGGUUUAUCAUCAGCGACAUGGCAGUUUACGUUAUAAUACGUUCUUUUACGACGUUUCAAUAAAUCAUCACUGAUAAGUUGGUACAGAAGAGGAAUGAAAUAUUUGACGCUAAAUGGUUAUAAAGUACCAGUGCCCAUGUUUACUUCCGAAAGUAAUGACAAAAGGAAUAAUGCAUCGAACCUGAUACAGUCUUAUCAUUGCUACAGUGGGCUGUGUAGUACAAGGAAAAUUAACAAAAGUAUCCCUAUGCUUCGCUGAAUGAUGCAUUGUCGUUUAUUUCAGAAUUUCAUCGUGGAUUGAGUGUACCGCAUAAAACGUGCGUUCCGAAGAGUGAUCUUUCUAUGUCGAAAAUUUUUCAUUCAAAAUAAAGUGCGUCGUCAAACUGAUGGAACUAGUCCGGUAGACUGCACAGAAUACAGCAGGAAUGUCGAUUCGAAACAAACGCAAAAACCAUUCCUGGGGCCAUAAUGGGAAAUACCGUUGCAUUCGUCAAAACAAAAAGAAGAAAACGAGCAAACUGAAAAAAUAUUCAUCCGAUUUCAAUUUAACUUUACUGUGUUAAAAAAUAGGAGACGAACUUUUGUUGAUUUAUAAAAAUAGGUGCAGCGAGACACCUCGCGGCUAUCGCAAAACAGAAACUUGUUCAGUACUGAAAGUAUGUUAAUUAUCCUGCCACGAAGCCUGAAUUAGUUGAAAAAUCGAUUUGUACAAUUGGACAAAUCAGAUUCAUAGAGUCGUUCGUUUGAAAAAUAUACAUGAAAGAAUCAGAGAUCAUCAAGAAUUAUUAAUUUCGUUCAAUCAGCGAGUCAAAAAGAAGAUGCAUCUGUAAAAGCAAGAAAAUCAAUGAAAAUCUAUAUCACGGGAAAAUGCGACAACAUUAAAUUAUACAUAUUUUUAUUUACAGAAAAGACUGACGCUUCGAUUAAAGAAUUCCGAUGCUCCUCAAACGAGUAACAAAAUCAUGCCUCUAAAUAAUUUAUAUUUUUUUUAAUGAAAACAAAAUGCUGUCAGACCAAAUCAUCUUUCGAAGUUAAUACGGCGAAUGACGUCAUAAAUCUGGUGCUAAAAAUUGGUCAGCCAGCCAAUUUCUUGUCAGCUCGGGCAAGGACUCAACUGGUUUUUUGUCAUCGUCCGAAAGAUAUACAUCAUAUUCCACAUUCGGGUCAUUGUCAAAAUCCAAAACUCAACAGAAGGCAUCGACCAAUGGGAAAAACAUAAAAUUCAUCUCUACUCUUAUAUAGAAAACUAAAUGAUCUCAUCUGGAGAAUCUGAAAAUAUUACAAGAAGACAUUAAUCAGAAAUAAUUUUCUCGCUGACAUUGAAUUUCACUGAAUUACAUUUCAAAACUAAAAUGUUUCCGUCUCCAAUGAACACACAGUAUUCUUACGUAUGACACGAUGAUCGUUAGAGAAAUUUGGUUUCGUCAAACCAUCUUGUUGUACGUAUUCCAUUAAGACGACUUGAUACAUUGAAAAUAUAUUCGAAAUCAAAAAUAGCCCUCGCGCAUUUUGAAGAACAGACAAAGAAUGGAAAACUUCCAGCUCCUACUGAAAGCUCCACGUUUCCAGACAGGAGAAGGAAUAUCAGAAGCAACGAAGAAUCGUAAUUUCGUAAAUCAAGUUCAAUCCAAAUUUCACGAUCCGGUAGAAGCAAUCAGGACAAUUGAAUUUAAAGUGUGGAAAAAGAAAAAAAAAGGGAACAGGAAAAGCAGCGAGCAUCCAGAAUAAUUGGAAAUUGAGUUUUUAUUAACAAGUCACUGGAAUACCACUGAAAACAUAGAUGGGAUAAUCUAUUGAUUUUACAAAAUGCAGGAGUUACGAGACACCACUUGGGAAAAUUCAUGAAAAGUAAUAUCUUUAAGCUUUGACAUACUUCAGUAUCAAAUUCACGUCCAAAUCAAGUUUCAAGUAUAAAAAAACUAUAUUCCAAAAUAUUCUACGAGAUCGUGCUGACAUCAAAAAUUUGCUGCCACCGUUCCGAAACCAACCAACCAGUCGACUCGUAGAGCUGACAGGAAUAUCAAAAAGACACAAGAAGAAUCCUGCUCUAAAAUCACCAAAAAAAUCACGAUAAAUCAAAACGAAAAAUUUUUUAUUUAAAUAAAAAAAAAAGAGUGGCGCUGCCGCAGCUCUCGUACCCCCACAGUUAAAUAAUUGACAUACAAAACUUGUAUGAGACUUGAAGAAAUCAUCCGAAUGCAACAUAAAACCACAAAAAUUCACCCUGUCACUUCAGAACAUCCCCCAGGAUUCACGAGGAAUUACUGUGAAGAAAAUUAUUAGCUCAAAAUAAAAUCUCCUCUCACCCUGAAAGAAUUUCAAUCGCUAGGCUUCCGGCGAUUUAGCGAGUACCAGUAGCAUUUCAAGAAACCACAAUCCUCCCCGCAAAAUUGGACGGGUGAGAAUCAGAACCGCAGUCGCCAGGCAAACAAAAAAAUGAUCCCAUUAAAAGAAAAGAGCAGCAGAAGCAGCCAUUACUACGAAGAGUAAUUAAUACUUUACAAAGAAUCAUCAAAGAAAGAAAAAAAAAGAACGAUCUCAAAUCAUAAUCAUCGAACGAAUCGCUCUCUAAUAAAAAAAAUAGCCAAGCAAAAAAAAUUUGCAAUAAAAGAAAAGUACAAAAAGAAUCAAGCAAAAUCCCUCUAUCGGCGAACAAUCAAAAGAGUAAUAAAACUGUGUGAAAACGGUGAGUCGAGACCGUUACCAUUUCUGAAAAUUAAAUACGAGGAAAAAUCAAAAUAAAUAUAAGAAAGAUACAAGGAAGCAGAAUGACGUCAAUCCGGCUGACAAAUGGAAGAAGCAACGAUACAACGAAGCCAACGAUACCUCCAAAUACAGUUCGAAUGCGAAUGUUACAACAAAUCGGAUAAAACAUUCGAUCAUCGGAACCGGCGAGUGGCUUUCGAGAGCGAUCGAAGCCGAUCACGUGGGCAUUCUUUAUAUUCACCGUGGGACCUUCUGUAAUCGAGGACAACGACGUCGUCGGAUUUAGAUGCGGCCGCAACAACAACAAAAAGUAAUGUCUUUUGUUCUAAUUUUUUUAAUAACGCUUAUUUGUCUAUUUAAUGAAUCGCACAGCCGAUCACAUAAACACAAACUAUUGCCCAACGACAAAACAGCCACAAACGAUUUGGUCGGUUUGCCAAAUUUUACAGGCACGUAAAACAGGGUACCUAGACAUCGCUUGGGUCUAGAUUUCAAAUACCGGGUUCUGUUAGAAAUUUUUAUAAUCACUGAAAAGUCACAAAAGGUAUUUUGCAAUAAAUUCUGUCGAGCGAAUAAAUUUCAAUUCUUUGAAAAUUUCAUUUCAGUGUUAUUUCAGAGACACGAUCUAGACCCUUGCUUUGAUAUUGAGAACUGAGACUGUCUUUAAAACGAUACGGCUGUCUAGUUAACGUUACUUUAAGUUAGGUUAAAUAUUUCGUUUUUAGUUAGUUUAUCUUUAUAGUUACUUUACUUUUUUUUUUUGGUACAUUUUUUUACGUUUCGUUCGUUUCAACUUUUUACUUUACCAUUCAUUUCAUUUCGUUUUUGAGUUCUUCCCAUGAAAAAGGCUGUCGGGCUUGCAGCCGCCUGCCUUUUUUUUCUCAUACUGAAAUAGUAGUUUGAACGUAGACUAGAAAAAGUGGAUAUUAUCUGGUAGGAAAAACCUUUCUGUUAAAACUGACAGACCAAACGCGAAUUCCAAUUGAUUGAUCCAGCAUGGCACUGCUUCGACAGUUUUUACAUGGGAUUUUACCAAUUUUUAUCGGUUUCAUUUUUAUUUACAUUUUCUCUUAUGUUUCGCGUUUAAUUUUCAUACAAAAACAAGUAUACGAGGUAAGGAAAAUCUAAAAAAAAAGAAAAAUAUCAAGGAAACAAAUUGAAAAAUUACGUGAGUUACAUUGACAGGGUCAAUUAACGAGAAAUCAUCUAUCGGGGAAAAAAAAUUACUGCUCAUUAAAUUGACGUAAAAUGAUCCGCCAUCGUCAAACAGUAUUCCGGUUGUUACAAAAUUAACUGUUUAUUUUCUCACUGAAUUUUAACAGAAAUCAUUGUUAUGUAGUUACUUAGAAAAUUGUUACAGUGCUCGUGGCUUUCGAAAGAAUCGUAACGGUAUGAAUCGUUUCACGGAAUCAUGUUGUCCAUUGCGAAAAAAAAAUAUAUCACAUAGCAGGACUAUACACAAAAAAAAGAAAAAGAAAAUACAAAAAGAAAUAUAUCUGCAAAAGAUGAAAACGUCAAUAGCAUAGUUCGGCGAAACAACCCUCUUUCGAAAGCCAUUUGCUCGCCGAACUUUUUGAACGAUCCACACACAUCCGCUUCAAAAAGUCACCGACCCACGUUACAGUUGUUUUUAUUUUUUAACUAUUUAUAUUUUAUUUAUUUAUUUUGUCCUUUCGCACCUUUGUAAAAUGGCCUGUUCUUUCUCAUUUUAUUUUCGUUAUUCUACCGAGGAUCCUGAAACACGUCACGAAUACUUUUCGAAUGAUCAUUCCGCGCAAAAAAAUGCACACUUCGUAAUCUCAAACACAGAUAUAACGUGGAGUAACAUAAAUUCAAUAACUCGCACUGUAUUUCAGUUCUAUGUUGAAACACAAGAAAAAAAGACCCUGGCGGUUUUUUUGUUACGAAGAAAAAGAACUCAUUUACAUCCAUAACAGUGAAUCUUUCGAACUUACAAAGUUCUGCUGAUGACGCGUGAGUUCGACCAGAUUUUGAAACUGCCGACAAGAUGAUCGUGAUUCCUCAAAACAGAAUAUCCUUUGUAGAUCAUUUGGAUUUCAAUUUCAUACAGGAUACGACAUCGUGGAUCAUGAGUCGAAAAAGUAUACGUGACUUGAUUAGAAUUCUCUUUCAAAAAAAAAAAAAAAAAACCCUUUAAUUUUAAU